UGGGGAAUAUUGCACAAUGGGCGCAAGCCUGAUGCAGCCAUGCCGCGUGUGUGAAGAAGGCCUUCGGGUUGUAAAGCACUUUCAGCGGGGAGGAAGGCGAUAAGGUUAAUAACCUCAUCGAUUUACGUUACCCGCAGAAGAAGCACCGGCUAACUCCGUGCCAGCAGCCGCGGUAAUACGGAGGGUGCAAGCGUUAAUCGGAAUUACUGGGCGUAAAGCGCACGCAGGCGGUCUGUCAAGUCGGAUGUGAAAUCCCCGGGCUCAACCUGGGAACUGCAUUCGAAACUGGCAGGCUAGAGUCUUGUAGAGGGGGGUAGAAUUCCAGGUGUAGCGGUGAAAUGCGUAGAGAUCUGGAGGAAUACCGGUGGCGAAGGCGGCCCCCUGGACAAAGACUGACGCUCAGGUGCGAAAGCGUGGGGAGCAAACAGG
rnacentral:rRNA from 1 species